CAGGCAGGCUCCACGGCAUGCGGGCAGAGGGAUGUUUAAAGUUUCUCUAAUACUUACUGAUUCUGUAUUAUGGAUCGCCUGAGCUUUUAUAGAAAAUGUGGGACAUACAGGAGUAUACAGAGGAAUAAGCUGCCUGUAACCCCUGCCCAGGGAGACCACCGUAUGCACUUCCUCAAGCAGCCUGCCACCCUGCCAUAUUCCGGGUUGUUGAUGAGAUGUUCAGGUGUGCACUCCUGGAAACCGAUGGAGCCCUGGAAAUCAUAGCCACUAUUCAGGUGUUUACGCAGUGCUUUGUAGAAGCUCUGGAGAAAGAAAGCAAGCAGCUGCGGUUUGCACUCAAGACCUACUUUCCUUACACUUCUCCAUCUCUUGGCAUGGUGCUGCUGCAAGACCCUCAAGAUAUCCCUCGGGGACACUGGCUCCAGACACUGAAGCAUAUUUCUGAACUGCUCAGAGAAGCAGUUGAAGACCAGACUCAUGGGUCCCGCGGAGGUCCCUUUGAGAGCUGGUUCCUGUUCAUUCACUUCGGAGGAUGGGCUGAGAUGGUGGCAGAGCAAUUACUGAUGUCGGCAGCCGAACCCCCCACGGCCCUGCUGUGGCUCUUGGCCUUCUACUACGGCCCCCGUGACGGAAGGCAGCAGAGAGCACAGACUAUGGUCCAGGUGAAGGCCGUGCUGGGCCACCUCCUGGCAAUGUCCAGAAGCAGCAGCCUCUCAGCCCAGGACCUGCAGACGGUAGCAGGACAGGGCACAGACACAGACCUCAGAGCUCCUGCACAACAGCUGAUCAGGCACCUUCUCCUCAACUUCCUGCUCUGGGCUCCUG
rnacentral:sRNA from 1 species